AGUAUAGCGGAAGGAUUUUGGUGCGGAGAGGCAAAUUUGAAAAAAUACGGGAGCGUCACGUGAUCUCUCGUUUCGUCUCGCUCCGCUUCAAGUCACACCGUCCAUCUGAAGCAUGAAUGAACCAGAAUGUGUCUGUGUAUUGUGCUAAUAAUUAACCCGUAUGUUAAGAGCUUGAAGAUGAAGUUUACCUGGUACUUUAAAAAGGAGCCUGAGAAGAACCUGUAAAAUUAACCGAUAUGGAGUGUGCUACAUGAACACGCUGUGAAGUCGUCAACAGUCCAUGCUGCGUCAGUCAUAACAGAAUAACCGAACUCCAGCAAAAGACACCUCGCCUGACAGAGAAUGGCUAUGGCUCAGUGGUCACCUGCGGGUCCUCCGGUUCCCACUCGUUGGUCUCCUGUGGGUUCCCCCCGCUCUGACUCGUCUUCACCUCCCUUCUCACCUCCUCCAGUGUCCCCUCCAUCUUCCUCCUUGCCCCCUUCGGCAUUACCUCCGGCUCCAGCCUUGCAGUCGCCGAAGGCCCCUCCUGCUCUACCCUCACAGUCGUCCGUUGCCCCUGCGGCUUCCGCAUUUUGCCCGCUGUGGUUAGCUCCAGCUCCCCCUUUCCCCCUGGAUUCAGCUGGCGAUCAAAGAUGUAAUUAACGGGCAUGACAAAGGUGAAACGCUGAAAAUCGCACACUUGGUGAAAAGUGUGCAUAAAAGCACUCUGAUCAGAGAAAACCGACCGAUUGGGAGUACAUCCCAGAACCCAUUGCGUGACAUGAUGAUUAAAUCAGUCAUCCGGCUGUUUCAAAAACACCUGUUAUUUCAAAACAAACUGUCUAGUCUAAUGUUGCCACCAUCACCCUAAAUGACGUGUGUCAGCUGACGCACCUCGUCAAUGUAUUGCUACCACUUGCAGACCUCAGACAAAAUCCAGAAGGAGCCGGGAAUCCUAGGAAUGAUCCUGCCUGUUGUCACGGAAAUCAAAUCCCUGCUUCCUCAUGACACUGCAUUUCCAACUGGCAUUUCUGCUUUUGCAGAAACGCUACCCAACAAUGUGUGAACUCACUAUGGAAGAUAUUACACUGAUAAAUACCUCAUCUUAGCACCAUGGUUAGAGCUUUGUUUCAAGACAGAGUGGAUAAUCCAAGACAAUUGUUUAUGCAAAAUCUGUGACCUUCUCAUUGAAGAAACAGGUAAUUAAUAUUGCUACUGGGACACCUGAGACUGACAACCCAUGUACUGCUUCCCCAGAUCCUCGGCCUGACCCAAAG